AUUGAACGCUGGCGGCAUGCCUUACACAUGCAAGUCGAACGGCAGCACGGGAGCAAUCCUGGUGGCGAGUGGCGAACGGGUGAGUAAUGUAUCGGAACGUGCCCAGUCGUGGGGGAUAACGCAGCGAAAGCUGUGCUAAUACCGCAUACGAUCUAUGAAUGAAAGCGGGGGAUCGCAAGACCUCGCGCGAUUGGAGCGGCCGAUAUCAGAUUAGGUAGUUGGUGGGGUAAAGGCCCACCAAGCCAACGAUCUGUAGCUGGUCUGAGAGGACGACCAGCCACACUGGAACUGAGACACGGUCCAGACUCCUACGGGAGGCAGCAGUGGGGAAUUUUGGACAAUGGGCGAAAGCCUGAUCCAGCCAUUCCGCGUGCAGGAUGAAGGCCCUCGGGUUGUAGACUGCUUUUGUACAGAACGAAAAGGUUUCUACUAAUACUAGGAGCUCAUGACGGUACUGUAAGAAUAAGCACCGGCUAACUACGUGCCAGCCGCCGCAGUAA
rnacentral:rRNA from 1 species